rnacentral:rRNA from 1 species
GACGAACGCUGGCGGCGUGCCUAAUACAUGCUAGUCGAGCGAAGUUUUUCUGGUGCUUGCACUAGAAAAACUUAGCGGCGAACGGGUGAGUAACACGUAAAGAACCUGCCUCAUAGACUGGGACAACUAUUGGAAACGAUAGCUAAUACCGGAUAACAGUAUUUCUCGCAUGAGAGAUAUUUAAAAGUUGGUUAUGCUAACACUAUGAGAUGGCUUUGCGGUGCAUUAGCUAGUUGGUGGGGUAAAGGCCCACCAAGGCGACGAUGCAUAGCCGACCUGAGAGGGUGAUCGGCCACACUGGGACUGAGACACGGCCCAGACUCCUACGGGAGGCAGCAGUAGGGAAUCUUCCGCAAUGGGCGAAAGCCUGACGGAGCAACGCCGCGUGAGUGAAGAAGGAUUUCGGUUCGUAAAGCUCUGUUGUUAGGGAAGAAUGGAUAUGUAGUAACUAUACAUGUAAGAGACGGUACCUAACCAGAAAGCCACGGCUAACUACGUG